UAUAUAUAAUAUUACAUAAUACAUAGGGUAGCUAGGAGGUACAGUGGAUAGAGGACUCAGAUCCAGACUCAGAUACAUAACAUCUGUGUUUUUGGGAAAAUCAUUCAGUCCAAUUUGCCUCAUUUUCCUCAUCUAUAAAAUUGAGCAAGAGAAGAAAAUGGCAAACCACUCAAGUAUAUUUCUAAAAAAAAUUGGAUCAUGAAGAGUUGGAUAUGCCUGAAAUGACUAAACAAUAAAAGAAAAUACCACAUACACUCAAUCCAAGAGAAUAUAUAUACCUAUAUAUCGCUUUAAUAUAUAAUUUAUUUACACAUAUAUAUUAUACACACAAAGUAAAUCUUAGAGAAUAUCAGGAGGUGCUAGUACCUAUGGAAUUAGGAAAGGCUAUAUGUAGGAGGUGGCACUUGAACUGACCUAUGAUUGAAGCUGGGAAGUCUAAGAGAUAAGAUUCUAGGCACAGUCUACCUAGAUGUGCAAAAUUUAGGAGAUGCAAUAUCACAUGCAAAUACAUCAAGAUGGUCCUUUUGGCUGGAUCAGAGAAUGUAUGAAUUGGAUUAAUGGGAACUAAAACUAGAAAGAUAAAGUCAAGACUAUUUGCAAUAGGUAGUAGAUGCCUUAAGUGAAUCUCUUCUGGAAUGUCUUAAAAUGAACAAAAAUGAGUACAAACAGCUUGAUUCCUAGGCAUAGUGGUGCAUACCUGUAAUCCCAUCUACUGAGGAGGCCUACACUGGUGGAUCUCUGGGGCUUAGGAGUUCUGAGCUGCAGAAAGCCUUGACUAUUGCAAUGUUAUGCAAUAUGGUGGAUUUGCAGGAGAGUAAGACUACUGGGUUGCCUAAGGAAGUGUGACUUAUGCAAUAUCAGAGAUAGAAAAAGUCAAAGUUCUUGUACCAAUUAAUAGUGGGAUCUGCCCAUGAAUAAUCCCUAUGCUUUCAGUCUGAAAAAAAAAAUAAUUAAAAGGCUACAACACAUGGGAUUUAGCUUAUUCUCUGAUGGAGGGAGGGAGGCAUCAUUUGCAUAAUAUUAUAAGCAGUGGGCUCAAUGUCAUGUGAGUGAUAUUUUUUUUCUGCCUCAAGGAGAUCUGAAGUACAUGUCCCUAUUCUUGGGAACAUAAACCUUUGCGAGUGCUCUUUCUGUGAAUCUUGAAUUCUGUAAUUAGACCAAUCCUCUUGUGAUAAGAGCCUUAGGCUGAUAAACUGCUAUAGUCAAUUAUAUGUGACCAUGCUACUUCUCUGUCCCUGUUUUUAAGUCUUUGUAAAUAUAAUGUGGCUUUAGGUGGUCUAAUUUCAUGGCCCUCAGAGGGUUUAUUUAGGGCUUUGGAAGGCCUGUUACCAUAGUGCCUGAUUCCAGGGAGGAAAUCUUCCAGUCCCUGAUAGUAUGGCAAAGAUAGGUAUAGAUGAAAUAAUGUGAACUCUCUCAAACUAAAAAUACUUGGCUGACAGGGACAAGGAAAAAGGUUUUAUAGACUGAGCCAUUGAAAGUCAUCUCAGAGUUUCACACACUAGUGUAAUGGGUUUGCAUUUUACAUAAUUUGGAUAUCAUUGAAAUGUGAAAGAUUUAAAGAAUGCUUAAAAUGACUGCACAUGAAAUCUGAACAAUCAAAAUGCCAGAGAAAAUUAACAUCAGAACCAAACCAGAUUAAAUAAUACUUUGGGGAUAAAAGGAUGAAAGUCAUAGAAAAAAAUGUAGAGUAUAAAAAGAAAGAAAAAC
rnacentral:lncRNA from 1 species